rnacentral:rRNA from 1 species
AGUGAACGCUGGCGGUAGGCCUAACACAUGCAAGUCGAACGGCAGCACAGUAAUAUCUUUCUCUUACGGGUUUCGAGUGUCGUACGUGUGAUGUAUACAUCGUAAUCUACUUUUUCGUGUGUGUUCACGUAGGUAAACUUACUCUCAUACCUCAUACGUCCUUCGGUUUAAAUCAUUGGUUCUUCUCACCUUUCGCGUUUUAAUUAGCCGAUGUCGGAUUAGCUAGUUGGCUUGGUAAAGGCCCACCAAGUCGACGAUCCGUAGCUGGUCUGAGAGGAUGAUCAGCCACACUGGAACUGAGACACGGACAAGACGACUACGGGAGGCAGCAGUGGGGAAUAUUGGACAAUGGGGGCAAGCAUGAGCCAGCAAUACCGCGUGGGAGAAGAAGGCCUUCGGGUUGUAAAGACCUUUUGUUGGGAAAGAAAAGCAGCAGGUUAAUACCACGCUGUACUGACGGUAACAAAAGAAUAAGCACCGGCUAACUACGUG